GAUGAAGAACUCAGCGAAAUGCGAAAAGUAAUGUGAAUUGCAGAAUUCAGUGAACCAUCGAAUCUUUGAACGCACAUUGCGCCCGCUGGAACUCCGGCGGGCACGCCUGUCCGAGCGUCAUUUCAACCCUCAGGCCCCCCUUCGCGGGCGGGCCUGGUGUUGGGGCCCGGCCGCUACCCUGCGGCCGUCCCCUAAAUUCAGUGGCGGCCUCGCCGUGAUCCCUUGCGUAGUAAUGCACCUCGCACCGGAGAGCGCCGUGGCCACGCCGUAAAACCCCCAAUUUUCAAUGGUUGACCUCGGAUCAGGUGGGAAUACCCGCUGAACUUAAGCAUAUCAAUAAGCGGAGGA
rnacentral:misc_RNA from 1 species